rnacentral:rRNA from 1 species
UACGUAGGGGGGCUAGCGUUGUCCGGAAUCAUUGGGCGUAAAGCGCGCGUAGGCGGCCCGGUAAGUCCGCUGUAAAAGUCCAGGGCUCAACCCUGGAAAGCCGGUGGAUACUGUCGGGCUCGAGUCCGGAAGAGGCGAGUGGAAUUCCUGGUGUAAGGUGGUGAAUGCGCAGAUAUCAGGAGGAACACCGAUAGCGAAGGCAGCUCGCUGGGACGGUACUGACGCUGAGGCGCGAAAGCGUGGGGAGCGAACAGG